rnacentral:tRNA from 1 species
GGAUUAGUAGUCAAGUGGUUAUAACAUAGCUCUUUUAAUACUACUAUUGCAGGUUUAAAUCCUGCCUAGUCUA